CCUACGGGAGGCAGCAGUGAGGAAUAUUGGUCAAUGGCCGGAAGGCUGAACCAGCCAUGCCGCGUGAAGGUCAGUGCCCUAUGGGCGUUAAACUUCUUUUGUGCGGGAGCAAUAAUGGUCCUGUGUGGCCAGACGAGAGUACCGUACGAAUAAGCAUCGGCUAACUCCGUGCCAGCAGCCGCGGUAAUACGGGGGAUGCAAGCGUUAUCCGGAUUUCGUGGGUUUAAAGGGUGCGUAGGCUGUGAGGUAAAUCAGCGGUGAAAUGCCCCCGCUCAACGGGGUGAAGUGCCAUUGAUACUGCCGUGCUGGAGUGCGGAAGACGUGGGAGGAAUGUGUGGUGUAGCGGUGAAAUGCAUAGAUAUCACACAGAACACCGAUUGCGAAGGCAUCUCACG
rnacentral:rRNA from 1 species